GACGAACGCUGGCGGCGUGCUUAACACAUGCAAGUCGAACGGUAAGGCCUCUUCGGGGGUACACGAGUGGCGAACGGGUGAGUAACACGUGAGUAACCUGCCCUUGACUUUGGGAUAACAUCUGGAAACAGGUGCUAAUACCGGAUAUGAGCUUGUCCUGCAUGGGAUGGGUUGGAAAGCUCCGGCGGUCAUGGAUGGACUCGCGGCCUAUCAGCUUGUUGGUGAGGUAAUGGCUCACCAAGGCUUCGACGGGUAGCCGGCCUGAGAGGGCGACCGGCCACAUUGGGACUGAGAUACGGCCCAAACUCCUACGGGAGGCAGCAGUGGGGAAUAUUGCACAAUGGGCGGAAGCCUGAUGCAGCAACGCCGCGUGCGGGAUGACGGCCUUCGGGUUGUAAACCGCUUUCAGCAGGGACGAAGCGUGAGUGACGGUACCUGCAGAAGAAGCACCGGCUAACUACGUG
rnacentral:rRNA from 1 species